rnacentral:rRNA from 1 species
GCUGGAAUUGCUAGUAAUGGCAGGUCAGCAUACUGCCGUGAAUACGUUCCCGGGCCCUUGUACACACCGCCCGUCACACCAUGAGAGUUGGAAAUACCCGAAGCCUGUGAGCUAACUUUUAGAGGCAGCAGUCGAAGGUAGAGCCAAUGAUUGGGGUGAAGUCGUAACAAGGUAGC